CAGGCUUAACACAUGCAAGUCGAGGGGCAGCAUAAUGGAUAGCAAUAUCUAUGGUGGCGACCGGCGCACGGGUGCGUAACGCGUAUGCAACCUACCUUUAACAGGGGGAUAACACUGAGAAAUUGGUACUAAUACCCCAUAAUAUCAUAGAAGGCAUCUUUUAUGGUUGAAAAUUCCGAUGGUUAGAGAUGGGCAUGCGUUGUAUUAGCUAGUUGGUGGGGUAACGGCUCACCAAGGCGACGAUACAUAGGGGGACUGAGAGGUUAACCCCCCACACUGGUACUGAGACACGGACCAGACUCCUACGGGAGGCAGCAGUGAGGAAUAUUGGUCAAUGGACGCAAGUCUGAACCAGCCAUGCCGCGUGCAGGAUGACGGCUCUAUGAGUUGUAAACUGCUUUUGUACGAGGGUAAACGCAGAUACGUGUAUCUGUCUGAAAGUAUCG
rnacentral:rRNA from 1 species